GUCUCGUAGAAGCAUAACUAUUUGGGCUUUCCACCAACGUUGCUACUCUGACGGUUCAAGCGCUGCUCCUCCACAGCUUGAGAAUUCUUAUUGAUUGUAAGAAUAAGAAUGAUAAUUAAGGACCAAUGACGGGCAUUCAUUUCCCUAACUGCAUGUUGGAGCCAUUGGGUGCUUCAUUAACUGUGAUUUUCUCUUUAUUUGAAGGAUUCCAAUGACGAACUGGUGUCCAAUCUCCAACUCCUUAGGCAGUUUUAUGGUAAGAUGACCAAUCCCAUAAAUUCCAGCUCGUCUCUUCCUGCCGCAAAGUGUUCCAACUCAGAAUCUACAUCAGCCAUUGUAUCCACAUAGAGACUCAAAUUCUAGUUUGCUAUACAAUUCCAAUAACAGAGGAAAAGCCUGCAGUUGCUCAAGAUGAUUACACCGCUUCUUAUACAGCCAAAGAAUAGGAUAUAGCUUAUAUUUUUUGUAAUUUGAAUUAUGCUCUGUUCAGUUGUAAUCUUUUAGCUUAGUAGAUACAUUUCAAUUGUACAUCAUUGAUCAUUAAUAGAAACUAUGCUCAGCAUACCA